ACAUUUUACUAUAUAACAGGAGUUCUAUACAAAAUAAAUAUUUACAUUAUAAGGAGACAACGGUCUAGCAACUCAAAGUUGACUGGGAGACGACGGCCUAGAUCUCUCACGAACUCAUCGCAGCAUCCUCCAUGCGCCUCAUCCUGCGGUACCUAUUCUUGACCUGUGGGGGGUGUGAGACAGCAAGAGUGAGCUCACAUACGUUCAUCGCUCAACAAGUUGUGGGGAAUAAUGUGCAUGAACUCGCCAAAGGUGGGAGCUCACGUGAAGUGUAAGGCUUACCAAAGAGGAUGGUUAGAGCUGAGCAUUGCUUUUAAAGUUGGAUAAAAUUUUAUUAGCAGUUACUAAGUAUAAGUAAAUACCGACCCAAUUAAUUAGUAGAACAAAGUAACAACAUCACCCGCAAUGCAAUGCAUAUGACAAAUUGAAUUUAAGUUCCAUAAUUUAAUCAUCAGAGAGUCCUGAGCUGCUCAUGACCGUGAGCUCGGCUAGUAUACCAGUUUUACACUCUACAGAGGUGGUACCCUUUACCCACAAGUCAUGUUACCCAUCUGCCAAGGGAUCGCGACUUCCCAUACACCUCUACCGAGGAGGCGAGGCAGGGUAACACUACGAGGCCUUUACAAAGUUCCACUAGCUUCAGAAAACCCGCUACAGUUUAUAGGAAGCUCCAAUGCAGGGUUCUUGCCUGACCGCCAUCGCAGCAAAAUCAACCAAGGACCUCCCUACACUGACCACUCCCCUACUGCCCUUGCCCCUUUCGGGUAAGGUAAUCCUCCACUAGCUUUCCUAAUUAAUCAGCCAAGGGCGUCCAUAAACCCUUGUGGUGGCACGUGUUUCUCAAGUUAAGCUCUAUGUUCCAAUUAACAUUAAUGAUCUUGACAUGAACAGUAAAUAACAACAGAUAACAAAAGUAUAAUCAUGAAUAAUGUGUAUCUCAAUGCCCAAAACCACAUAUAGCACUAGCAAGUACUACCCAAAAAGUUCAGUGGUAAACAAGGCAUAAAGAUAGACAAACUAGGGAACCUAUUAGGUCCCUUCAAAAUUAACUUAUGCAGAUCAUUAUGAUUAAUUAGAACAUGAGUGGGUAAAAGAAGUGAUCAAGGGCACAACUUGCCUGGGACUUGAGAUUCCAGGUACCAGGAUGAUCUUCAGGUGACUCGUAACCUCGCGCUAGUCGUAGCAAUACAAACAAGCAUGGUAUAGGCAAAAUUAACAUCACACCAAACAUAAUAAUAAACCACAUAAUAAUAAUUUACGCUGCGUAACAAGAUCAUAGAAAUAAGAACCACUAAAUUCGGAGCUACAGUUAUGAAGUUAUGGUUUUCCGAAGAUCAACGUGGUUAAAUAUAACAUAGACUAAGUGCAACAUUUUAAUCUAUAUUUCAUGACUAAACAAAGUUAUAAGAUGAUAAUAAAUAUUAUUGUGAGACUAAUGCAACUAGAAUGGGUCAAAACUGAGUUACAGUUAUUGAGUUAUGAAUUUCUGGAGUUAUUAAGUACAUGGUAUAUAUUAAUUCAGAUGAACAAUUUUAAUUCAUGUUUCAUGGCUAAACAGUGUUCCUAGUUGAUAGACAAUAUUAGCACAAAAUUAUUGCAACUGGAAUAUACCAAAAAGAAGUUAAAAUGAAUUUAAUAUGAAUUAAACAAGUUUCUAACAUUAAUUUAAUACCAAAAACCUAUUUCCUAUAUUGAUUUAUUCCCUUUUAUUUGCUGACUGGACUGGGGACACUAUUCUUCAGAAGAUCAGGGUCUAAUCUAUAAAUUUUAGGACUUAAUCGUGAUGUUUCUUCACUGGAUGUGGACUGCGGGUUGACUUAAGAAAAAUGCAGGGGUUCUUUUAUAAUUUAGCCGUGGCCAAGGGGGUAUGCGCCAAUCUAAUUCAGACCAUCGAUCCGCAAUUCGACGGUCAGAUCCAAAGACCGCCAAUGCAUUUGAACUUCUAAUCGGCUCCGUUCACUUCUCAUCCAACGACAACCGGCGCUUCUUCUCUCUACCGCUCGAUCUCGCAUCAGCGAUUACUGGUUGUCUUCUAAUCAAUCUGCAGCCGCAUGAUGUGGAUCGAACGGCAGGAGCUCAUCCUCCCCACCUGAAUCAUCGCACGACAGCUACUGUACCCCGGACGCGGCGGAGCGCCAUGACCGGAACUCACGCCCCGACGACCAAGGUACAAUUCCUAAACGCAUUCGGCCCUAAUUGAAACCGAAACAAUUAUGGAGCAAAGGGUGGGGCCAUACCGUGAUUUAUAGAGGCACGAAAUCCCAACGCCGAGCUCCCAGGUUCACGGGCGGACGACGGUGAUCCGGUGUAAAAUUCGUUGGCACCGGACGCACCUAACCCGACGUCGAUGCCGCGGAAGCUAUCACCGAGCCGAAGCGAAGCUCCCCGACCGACGACGACCCUCAAACGGCGGUGCUUUCCACUGGCGUCAGACUUCCGCCCACCGCGCCCCGCAAUCCGUCCACCAGACUCUCCUCUCCGAUGGCUUAUGGGUGGUGCUAGGGAACGAGUCAAUCGGUCGAGACGGCCCAAGGGUUCUAUAUAUACAGCAAUGGCCGAGGCAACGGUAUGGCCGAAUUCCUCGGCGAAUUCUGCGCGGCGGGUAUGGAGAUCCCCCAACGACCAUGGUGAGCUGCACGGGGGAGAAGUCCAUCAGACGAGGCGGAGUCCGCGGGGUUGUUGCCCUGUCGCAACGGUCGCAGCGGAAUUCACGGGAUUCGAUACGGGGCUUCGCCGCGUGCGCGAGCCGCCAUUGCGAAGAACAGACGAAGGUGACUGCAGACCGAGCGGGCCAGCUGUUCGGUGACCAGGCGAGACGUGUUUGCGGGGCGGCACCGUGUUGAGCGAGCGCGGGAGCUGUGCCUGUGGAUCCAUAUCCAUCCUUCGAGCGCUAGCUGCCUGCGGUGCGGAGUCCCUCCGUCCGUCCGUGCCUCCCUCCGAUGUCCAGGCGGCCAGCAGAGGAAACGUGAGCAGACAAGCCAGCGUGGGGUAAGGAGGAAGAAGAAAAAAGAAAAAAAAAUAGUAAAUGGGCCGCGGAGGUAGCUGGGCCAAAGGGAGGUUCGGGUCCGAGAGUGUGUUUUCCUUUUUAUUUUUCUCUUCUAUUUCAAGGUUCUCGUUUCAGAUUCAAUUUAAAUUCAAAACUCCCAAUUCAAAUUUCAAAUUUCCCACGUGUCGAAAUUAAUACUACUGAGAAUAUAACCUCUACUAUGUUCAAUU
rnacentral:lncRNA from 1 species